UCACCAGUGCUCGCGUCCCGGCCGUGAUGGCAGCGUGGCGGCGCAAUAAAUAACAAGAUCCCUCACCCGUGUGGCAGCGACGCGUCUUGUGCUGUCUCGCGUCGGCUUGUACGAGGAUACGACGAGUGAUGCGACGAAGCUUUGCGUUACGGUCCUCACGUUGCUGGGAUGCGUGUGGCCAUCAGGAGCGGGCAGACAAAACAACCAACACCGCCUACUGACGCAAAGCCGCUGUCACGGCCAGUGGGACCCUUAGAAGAAACGCCGGCGAAAUUCAUAUUUGUGGCCCCCUGCCGCCCCUGCUACAGGCUGGUGGGGACCAAGUGUAGACGGAUCUUCAGCUGUGCUGCCCGAGGGGUAGACGGGACUCUUACGACGCCUCCGUACCCUGAACCCUUCCAAGGAGAAGACACGACAAUCACCCAAGACCCACUUGGCCUUCACGUUUCAUGAUGGCGGCGUGGCGGUUGUCUACAAUUCAUGACUUCGCCAGAGACUCGUCCAGCCCUAAGAGAGAGGCAACGACGUUAUUCUGCUCGAAUAAAUCCACAUGAAAUGGAAAGACGUCGAAAAAAAAUUGCAUGGCUGACCUCCCUCCGAUUUAUCAAGUGGCAAGACCCACUUCCCAACCAAUAAGGAUGAAGACGAACCUAAUGUAGGCCGUUGAUGCAAGGUACAUGUCAAUAUUAUUAACAACUGGAAUCUGAAGUAUAGAGAGGAAAUAAAAGUAAAG